rnacentral:rRNA from 1 species
UACCAGCACCCCGAGUGGUCGGGACGAUUAUUGGGCCUAAAGCAUCCGUAGCCGGUCAUGCAAGUCUUCCGUUAAAUCCAGCCGCUCAACGGUUGGGCUGCGGAGGAUACUACGUGGCUAGGAGGCGGGAGAGGCAAGCGGUACUCAGUGGGCAGGGGUAAAAUCCUUUGAUCCAUUGAAGACCACCAGUGGCGAAGGCGGCUUGCCAGAAUGCGCUCGACGGUGAGGGAUGAAAGCUGGGGGAGCAAACAGG